UAGAGUUUGAUAACGGCUCAGAGAGAACGCUGGCGGCAGGCCUAACACAUGCCGUCGAGCGUGAAAGGGGCUUCGGCCCUGAGUAAAGCGGCGCACGGGUGAGUAACACGUGAAUAAUCUGCCCUUUUGACCGGGAUAACAGACCGAAAGGACUGCUAAGACCGGAUAAGCCCACAGACCAACCGGGUCGGUGAGAAAAGAACGGGACCUUCGGGCCGUUCGCGGAAGGAUGAGUUCGCGUUCCAUUAGAUAGUUGGUGAGGUAACGGCCCAUCAAGUCGACGAUGGAUAGCUGGUCUAAGAGGGUAAUCGGCCACAUUGGAACUGAGACACGGUCCAAACUCCUACGGGAGGCAGCAGUGGGGAAUAUUGCACAAUGGCGCAAGCCUGAUACAGGAAACGGCCGCGUGAGCGAUGAAGUCUUCGGAUUGUAAAGCUCUGUCCUUGAGGACGAAAAUUGACGGUACUCUUGGAGGAAGCCCGGCUAACUACGUGCCAGCAGCCGCGGUAUACGUAGGGGGCGAGGCGUUAUCCGGAAUUAUUGGGCGUUAAGAGUACGUA
rnacentral:rRNA from 1 species